CUGCUGUAUAAUUCUCUACUCCUAACUCAUUAUCCUCGGAGGCAAUGGCACCCUACUCCAGUACUCUUGCCUGGAAAAUCCCAUGGAUGGAGGAGCCUGGCAGGCUACAGUCCAUGGGGUCACUAAGAGUCGGACACGACUGAGCGACUUCACUUUCACUUUUCACUCUCAUGUAUUGGAGAAGGAAAUGGCAACCCACUCCAGUGUUCUUGCCUUGAGAAUCCCAGGGACAGGGGAGCCUGGUGGGCUGCCAUCUAUGGGGUCGCACAGAGUCGGACACGACUGAAGCGACUUAGCAGCAGCAGCAGCAACUCAUCAUCCUAGUCAAUUGGGCUCCGGCCCCGAAAACCAAGUGUCUGAGGUGGGGUGGGCCUCCCCAGUCACUCAUUUAUUCAUUCAACACACACCACCCCCGACCCUGCCCCGGCUCCCCAGGCCUGGUGCUGGGGAUGCCCAAGGGUGUGAGAUACAGCGUAGGAUGAGACGCGAUGUCUAGAGAGCCCCAGCGCAGGGGUUUGGAUAUGGACAUCUGGGAGAGAGUCCGGCCUCCGGAGCUGUGGGGUGAGAAUCCCUGGGAACUUCUCCUCCGUAAAGUUGGAGACAGCCGAGCAGGAGGCGGGGACUUAGGGCGAAAGCCCCGGGCACCAGAGUAGCGCAGGCAGGACCUGCGCAUGCGUGGGAGGAGACUUUGGCGUCCUCCAGUGUCGUCAAGGUAACCGUGAUCGCUGCAGCUGGCCAUGGCCUCAGGAAUUGGAGGGAGCUGGAGUCAACCCCAGCACAGCUGCUUAACCUGUGAGCCUCAGUUUUCCCACCUGCAGAAUAAGGAAUAAAUGUCUCCAAAGUGCUUUGCUUGCUUGUCUUAAAUGCUCAAAAAACAGGAGCCGUUUUGAGCUGUGUAUCUGAAGAAAUAAUUCAGAGGAAUGGAGGACCAGGGGCAGGGAGAAUCUGACGCUGUAUUGUCUCCCCUCCCAUCUUGCACAAUCCCCAGGUCUCCCUGGAGGUUCAACACCAGGAGGAGACGGAACCCCAGGAGGAGGGGCCUCUGGUUUUCCACCACCACUACCUGCCCUGCACCAUGCCUGCCCUGGGGCCCCUGCUCCCCUGGCCAGGCCCUCUCCUUUCCCUCCCUACACCAGCCCGUGCAGGAUUCAGCUGAGAUUCAGCAUCACCCUCCUGCGCCUGGAAAAAGGGGGGUGAGAGCGGUGCCCCCACCUCCACCGCCCAGUGCCACGGGAACUGUGGGUGCAGAUGUACCUCCAGCUUCAGACUACUACGAUGCUGAGAGCCCAUAA
rnacentral:lncRNA from 1 species